rnacentral:rRNA from 1 species
CCUAGCCGUAAACUUUUACUCACAUCCAAAUCGCCAGGGAACUACGAGCCAAGCUUAAAACCCAAAGGACUUGACGGUACCCCAUAUCCACCUAGAGGAGCCUGUCCUAUAAUCGAUAAUCCACGUUUAACCUCACCAUUUUUAGUUACUCAGCCUGUAUACCUCCGUCGUCAGCUUACCACGUGAGCGUCAAUUAGUGAGCUUAAUGUUCUUCACCAAUACGUCAGGUCAAGGUGCAGCAAAUGAAAUGGUAAGAGAUGGGCUACACUUUCUAUCUUAGAAGAAACGGAAAACUACCUAUGAAAUCUAGUUAGAAGGCGGAUUUAGCAGUAAAAAGGAAUCAGCAUAUCCAUUUUAACCCGGCACUGGGGUGUGUAC